CCUCCUUAAAAUAAAAUCGUUUUUUUGUAGGCGUCCACACGAAUUACUUAUUUAUCUUUAAUCUCUCUUGAGAUUUUGGAUGCGUUUUUUAACAUUUUUAUAAGUUCAAUCAAGUCAUAUCAAGAGCAUUUAUGUUCUAGAUAUGCAAAUUAAUUAUUCAUUAAAGGUUUUAUUAUUCUUUUAAUCCGAAACCUUAUUUGAAUAACUGCAAAGUAAUUUGGCGUUUUUUGUGUUUUUUUAAACACAUAUAGUAGAUAGAAAUUCUUGAAAAUAUCAUUAAGUUAAUUGAUGUAAUAUGGUCAAGUAAUGAAGUGCAAACGGUGG
rnacentral:misc_RNA from 1 species